GGUUUUAGUUUGUUCUUUUGUUGGAACAUAUUCUUAUGUUUUCUCAUUUUACUCACUUGGUUUAUUUCUAUAUAUUAGACAAAAUAGCUACCUCUCCCAGUAUUUUUUUUUUGAUAGGCAAGAAAUAGAUUUAUUAAGAUAAGACACUUGUGAGAGAUGCAAGUCACAUCUCCCAGUCUUAAAGAGUGGCCUUGUAUAGAAGAUGCAUCCUUAUUCUUCAACCUUGCCCUAGAUCUUGGUUGUCUCUCAAAUGUGAUUGCCUAAGUAGACUAAUUUAUUCCAGAUAGGUCCCAGUUGUUGAGGGUGUGCCAAGAUCUCUCAGUGUUCCAAAGGGAGGGAUUUCCGUCAGUGGCUAGUUUCAGGCUAAUUGGAAGCCAGACCCUCAGCCAGCCACUUUUAAAGUAUGCAAAUAUAUACAGUCCUGUUGUACUGCAAACAUAAAACCUGGCAACCUUCAGUCCAGGUCUGGAGGUGUCUUGUUGGCAAGCUCCUUUCUGGAAGGUACUUGUGUGCUCUUGCAAGGCCAAGGGAGAGAAUUAAGAUGAUGUCUCUUGGCCUGUAUUCCCUGAGAGCAUCUCUGUAGCCUCUAGGUGUGUUGUAAACCCCUCAGACUGAAGCUCCAGGACAAGUCAGUAGGUUUUUGUCUCAGGAAGACUGGGGUAUGUUUCAGUUUGCUGUCUAGGCAGUGCCCUGGGGGUGGUAGCCUGUCAAGAACUGUUUCUCUGAAUGUUGAGUCCUGUGGGGCCCAGAAAUGAAAGCUCCUUGGCCACUAGAGCCAGGUGCUCAAGGGGCAUCUCUUGUGUGGGCCACGUGCACCUACCAGCUCUAUCUAGGCAGCAGGAGAACAUGUGUGUUCUGGCUUUAGCAUGGCAGCUCGAGAACACUGGGCAGGUUUCAGUGAUGGGGGAGGAGGUAGCACAGGGGCAGGACAUGCUUGUGGGCUUUAUCAGGGCAGUGGGAGAGUGCUGUGACUUUAUGUACUGGCCAGCACUAGUGAGGUAGAGGGAGAGCACAAAAAUAGUGCCUAACAGCACCUCCAUUUCCCUAGAGAGUCUCAGCAGUUUCCUGUCCCUCCAGCAGAUGUUUUGGGAUUAGGAAAGGAAUUUCCUUCGUGUGUAGUCUAGGUGGCUUUCAAACUGCUGCUUUUGCUCUGCGUCCCAGGGUGAGUCUGUGUGCCAGCCUUUUAAGAGUAGAAUCUUGGUUCCCUCUAGUCCUUUGGGUCUCUUGGAUGUAUGCCCCAAUGACUUUUUAAGCCCAGCAUUUCUAGGGCUUGUCUCUCUGGUGCAUAUUCCAAAUGUUAGAGAAGCAAUGUGGGACAUGAACCCCUUGCUCCGCAGAGAGAAUCUUUGUAUUUGUGAGAUCCCUUCUAUCAUGGGGCUCCACAGGGGGUAGGGUUUUGGGUGAGAACAUGGUAGGCCUCUCCUACCCAUCUACAUGUGGCUGUUAUAUCCUUUGUUAUAGAGGAGAUGUUCAGUGAGUUUUCAGGUCUUUUUCAGAGGGAAUUGUUCCAUAUGUAGCUGUAGAUUUGGUUGUGUCCACAGGGGAGGUGAGUUUCAGAUCUUCCUGUGCCACCAUUUUGAACUGCCUCCCCUUUGAAGAUUUUUUUUUGAACUACUUAAUUGUUAUUUUUUCCCCUCAAUCAGUGGGGGAAAUCUAUAAAUCUUUACCUAAGAGUAAAUAUGAUUGAAAAUGUUUCUCCAGUGUCAUAUCUAAAAAACAAAACAAAACAAAAAAUAAAGUUGAUGUUGACCGACCCUUCCAGGAUCUGAGUCCUGUUUCCCCUUCGGCCCCAUUUCUCCUUUCCUUCCUCAUGUCCCAUGCUUGGCUACACUGAGCUGGAUUUUCUUAAUAUGGCAUGUUGUUUUAUAGCUCUUACCCUCAACUCUUUUACUGCAUGAGAUAACAGUCUUCCCUCUAUCUGCAUUUUAAAUGCCUUCUAAUUUUCAAAGAUACAUCCUACUUCUGUUCUGAACAGAGCCUUUCCUGAUUUCCCUAUAGAAAAUUGAUGCGGUGCCUACCAUGUACUACAAAUGCCCAUAAAACAAGUUUUAUAUAGAUAUUGAAUAAAUAGUGACAAAGAAUGAACCAGUGAAAAGCAAAGAGCCAAAAAGAUUCCUUAACUCUUAAACCAGUGAUGCAGGACCAGAAAAUCACAAGCAAGAAUAAUUUUGCGUAUGUUUAUGUCCUGCUUGUCUAUUGAAAUCUCUUUGGUGCAAAGCCCAUGGCUUACGCAUCUUUGUGUAUCCAGUGUACUCUCCAGUGACAAUUUUGAUCAUCUACUUGAUAUACCGUUUUUAGAGGUUAAAUGAUCAAGUCAUGAUUUCAUUGAAAAACAUUACUUAAUUGACUUGGCACAUUCAUCAUGACCUUAGGUUGCCUUUGUUGAAUAUCUGAGAUUUAUUUUUAUGUAGAGGUUCUUCAUAAAUUUUCUUCAGAUGUCAGAAUUAAGAGUAUAGACACAUUUGCUCUUGAAUGUUUAUCCUAUUCUUUACUGAUGAUCAAUUUAGAAAGUGUCUCUUCAAGCAAGAAUAGACAAAGCAAAUGAUCUCUUUCUCCCAUAUGAGCUUUUGAAUUUCUCUUUUCCCUAAAAUGAAAACUGCUUCUUGCCAAUAGAAGAUAUUUUAUAGUCAUCUUAAAAAUGAAUUUUCUUUUAUCAAACCACUAACCUUUACAUAUGCAUUGUAUUCUCUUAUGUGGAACUGUGUGAUCAGCUUCAAAAGAUUCUGUUUGGUGGUGAGUAUGUCAGUGGAAGGAUGUCAUUUGUCAUACCUUAGAUGAAUAAAACCCCUUGCUUCUUAUACCAAAUAAGAAAAACCAGCACCACUCUGCCCAAGUAAGAUAAAUAUACCUGGGAUACAUAUCCUUUCCUAUUAAAGAGUUAAGGAAUAUUCUCGGUGUUUUAUUUUUUUAUUAUUUCACAGCUCGCUGUUACUACUUAAUAUUCCUAUAAGAUUGUUUUAUGGGUACUUUGGGAACUGAGCAAAAUUGUAGUUCAGUUCAUGUCUGUCUAUGGUAUUACUCUAACUCCUUUCUGUGAAAUUUUCCUUCUUUCUUACCCUUCACCAAAGUACUUAGUGACCUAAUACACUGAUGAUCCAGUUUUCCAAAUAACUUGCCUACCCUCUUGGGCCAGUGUCCCAGCAACAAAACCAUCCUUCUUUCUCCACCUAAAACACUCACCAGUUGGCAGUCAAACAGAAAAUCAAUUUGAUUAAUUCUGUCUGAGGAGCUCCUGAUCAUUAAUGGCCCAAUGUCUUAUUCUUUGAGGAUGAAAAUGAAUAUUGUACAGCAGGUAAGAACUUCAUGAUGAAUUUGUUAACCAAGGAAGUGACUCUAUAAUUGUGAUAUUUCAACAAUUAUGAGGUGGGAUGUUGGGAUGUUGCACAUCUGGUAGAGUUGUAUACAUUUCUGCAUCUCCCUCCUGUUUGUAAGACUGGUCCUGGUGGUUGUAAAAGCAACCUGAAGAUUUCCAGGCCUAAAGCUGUGUAUUUCUUGUCUUCUGUGGAGGAAUCCAAAUGCUGUUAUGUCAUGGUAAAUACAUUGUGCUUCAUAUAAUAUCAUAGAAAUUAGAAGUAAAAUCAUUUUAGUUUGUUUUAUAAAAACAUUUUUGAUGGAAUAUAGAGAGCAGCAGUAGUAAGAUUAUUAACUUCUCAGUAGUUUGUGGAUAACAUUAUUAUACAUUCUACAUUUUGGUGAAAUCUCUGACCAGAGUAUUUAAAGGUGUGUUUAUUUAAAGAUCCAUGACAUAAAUCAUAUAUUCAAAAAUAGUUUGCUCCAGAUUAUUGUAUGAGGACAAGUCAGUGGAGUAUACAGACUGUGCCUAUUCAUCAAACCAUUUCUUAUGUUAUAAAUAUGGUAAUCAGAAAUAC
rnacentral:lncRNA from 1 species